GAUGAACGCUGGCGGCGUGCUUAACACAUGCAAGUCGAACGGGAAACCUUUUAAUGAAGCUUCGGCAGAUUUAGCUGGUUUCUAGUGGCGGACGGGUGAGUAACGCGUGGGUAACCUGCCUUAUACAGGGGGAUAACAGUCAGAAAUGACUGCUAAUACCGCAUAAGCGCACAGGACCGCAUGGUCCGGUGUGAAAAACUCCGGUGGUAUAAGAUGGACCCGCGUUGGAUUAGCUUGUUGGUGGGGUAACGGCUCACCAAGGCGACGAUCCAUAGCCGGCCUGAGAGGGUGAACGGCCACAUUGGGACUGAGACACGGCCCAGACUCCUACGGGAGGCAGCAGUGGGGAAUAUUGCACAAUGGGGGAAACCCUGAUGCAGCGACGCCGCGUGAAGGAAGAAGUAUCUCGGUAUGUAAACUUCUAUCAGCAGGGAAGAUAGUGACGGUACCUGACUAAGAAGCCCCGGCUAACUACGUG
rnacentral:rRNA from 1 species